AGCGGCGGACGGGUGAGUAACGCGUGGGUAACCUGCCCUAUACACACGGAUAACAUACCGAAAGGUAUGCUAAUACGAGAUAAUAUAAGAGAUUCACAUGGAUUUCUUAUCAAAGCUGAGGCGGUAUAGGAUGGACCCGCGUCUGAUUAGCUAGUUGGUAAGGUAACGGCUUACCAAGGCGACGAUCAGUAGCCGACCUGAGAGGGUGAUCGGCCACAUUGGAACUGAGACACGGUCCAAACUCCUACGGGAGGCAGCAGUGGGGAAUAUUGCACAAUGGGCGAAAGCCUGAUGCAGCAACGCCGCGUGAGUGAUGAAGGCCUUCGGGUCGUAAAACUCUGUCCUCAAGGAAGAUAAUGACGGUACUUGAGGAGGAAGCCCGGCUAACUACGUGCCAGCAGCCGCGGUAAUACGUAGGGGGCUAGCGUUAUCCGGAUUUACUGGGCGUAAAGGGUGCGUAGGUGGUCUCUUAAGUCAGGAGUGAAAGGCUACGGCUUAACCGUAGUAAGCUCUUGAAACUGGGAGACUUGAGUGCAGGAGAGGAAAGAGGAAUUCCUAGUGUAGCGGUGAAAUGCGUAGAUAUUAGGAGGAACACCAGUAGCGAAGGCGGCUUUCUGGACUGUAACUGACACUGAGGCACGAAAGCGUGGGGAGCAAACAGGAUUAGAUACCCUGGUAGUCCACGCCGUAAACGAUGAGUACUAGGUGU
rnacentral:rRNA from 1 species